GGGCCGCCGGGGUAAAACCAGCACCUCAAGUGGUCAGGAUGAUUAUUGGGCCUAAAGCAUCCGUAGCCGGCUCUGUAAGUUUUCGGUUAAAUCUGUACGCUUAACGUACAGGCUGCCGGGAAUAGUGCAAAGCUAGGGAGUGGGAGAAGUAGACGGUACUCGGUAGGAAGUGGUAAAAUGCUUCGAUCUAUCGAUGACCACCUGUGGCGAAGGCGGUCUACUAGAACACGUCCGACGGUGAGGGAUGAAAGCUGGGGGAGCAAACCGGAUUAGAUACCCGGGUAGUCCCAGCUGUAAACUAUGCAAACUCAGUGAUGCAUUGGCUUGUGGCCAAUGCAGUGCUGCAGGGAAGCCGUUAAGUUUGCCGCCUGGGAAGUACGUACGCAAGUAUGAAACUUAAAGGAAUUGGCGGGGGAGCAC
rnacentral:rRNA from 1 species